UACGUAGGAGGCAAGCGUUGUCCGGAUUUACUGGGCGUAAAGAGCGCGCAGGCGGUCGUUCAAGUCGCGUGUGAAAGCCCCCGGCUCAACUGGGGAGGGUCACGCGAUACUGAUCGACUCGAAGGCAGGAGAGGGUAGUGGAAUUCCCGGUGUAGUGGUGAAAUGCGUAGAUAUCGGGAGGAACACCAGUGGCGAAGGCGACUACCUGGCCUGUUCUUGACGCUGAGGCGCGAAAGCUAGGGGAGCAAACGGG
rnacentral:rRNA from 1 species